rnacentral:lncRNA from 1 species
CAGGAUUUUCUUAUACCUAUUUAUCAAGUCAGGACAAGUACAAUUUUUUUCAGCCCACACGCCUUUGAAUAUGGAAUAUGUACAAACAGGUUAACAUGAUGGGUUUAAAUUUACAUAUCUGAAAAAUUCCAGUCAAUGGUUUGACUUUUCUUACACCCUUACUUAUGGUAUGAGCUUGUAUCUCUUUAUUUUGGGGGUAUUUUUUUUUAGUCAAAAAGAUUAGAUUGUUAAGAUAAUAAAGCUAUCUCUGACUUAAAAUAUACCACUAGCAUAUCAAAGAGGUAUUAAGGAAGCAUAAAAAAAUUGAAUUUUUACCUAUUAAUAAAAAAUGAAAAAUAAUGUUUCUAGUUUUGAAAUAUUUCAUGAGAUACCAUGACAGGUAAAAUUCAAGUAUAAACCAUGGAGGAAAAAGACAUGUUUUAAAUGACACUAUUCUUAACAAUUUUAGACAAUAAUAUAAGACAAAGCAGAGACAAUAUGUAAUAAAUGACUGAAUUCAUUUUGAAUUCAGAGACAUGAUUGAUGGGAUAAUCCAGGUUACUAUAAUAAUGUUGUAUAUUGAUAUUUAUUAAUUCAGUACUAAAUUUUAGCUUUCUUAACAGUUUUGGGGCCUUUUAUAGUGUAUGUUCUGUGUUUUUUUUUUUUUUUAAAGAAAAGAGUCAUUUUAAUUGUCUCUAUUGUUUAACCAGUUAUUUGGGAGAAUGUUGAUUAUCAGCAUUUUGAUGCGCACCUUUCUGUUUUUAAUUUCAGGUUGAAGCCAUCCUAGUGAAUAUUUUUGGUGGAAUCGUCAACUGUGCCAUCAUUGCCAAUGGGAUCACCAAAGCAUGCCGGGAGCUGGAACUCAAGGUGCCUCUGGUGGUCCGGCUUGAAGGUAACCAGCAUGUUCUUCCUUCACAAACUUUCUGAGACAACAUAAGGAAACUGGGUUACAUAGGAUGAAAUAAAUGCAGUACAGCAGUACCUCUCUGAGCUUCUAAUAUGGGUUACAGCUCUCUAAGAAUGGCAUAUGUUAUGAGUCUCCAAAUUUUCCAAACAUAUUCCAGAGUAGAGCCCUUUUAUUAUGAAUCAUUUCAUGAGAUUAGUGUUCUGGGAAAUAUACUCUGAAAAAUGCUGCUCCAAGAAUUAUUCAUCAUGGAAGAGCUGUGGUUCUCAAAUUUUUUGGUCUGAGGAAUCAUUUACUUGCUAAAAUUGAGCUCUUGUUCAUUUUGUUCUUGUUCUUCUUGUUUGAAGAGCUCUUGUUUAUUUUGGACUAUAUCUGCCAAUAUUUAUUAAUUUAUUUAACUGAUUAAUACAUUAAUUUGUUUUUUAGGAGUAACUACUUAGAACUUUUUAAAUACUCAUCUUUUAAAUAAUAAGAUUUGGGAGUCCCCGUCGUGGCGCAGUGGUUAACGAAUCCGACUAGGAACCAUGAGGUUGUGGGUUCGGUCCCUGCCCUUGCUCAGUGGGUUAACGAUCCGGCGUUGCCGUGAGCUGUGGUGUAGGUUGCAGACGUGGCUCGGAUCCUGCGUUGCUGUGGCUCUGGCGUAGGCCGGUGGCUACAGCUCCGAUUAAACCCCUAGCCUGGGAGCCUCCAUAUGCCGUGGGAGCGGCCCAAGAAAUAGCAACAACAACAAAAGACAAAAAAUAAAUAAAUAAAUAAAUAAAUAAAUAAUAAGAUUUGGAGUUCCCAUCAUAGCUCAGUGGUUGGUGAAUCCAACUAGCAUCCAUGAGGACGCGGUUCAAUCCCAAGCCUCACUCAGUGGGUUAAGGAUCUGACAUUGCUGUGAGCUGUGCAUAGGUCACAGACACUGCUCAGAUUCUGCAUUGCUGUGACUUGUGGCACAGGCCAGCAGCUGCAGCUCCAAUUCAAUCCCUAGCCUGGGAACAUCCAUGUGCUGCUGGUAUGGCCCUAAAAGACAAAAAGACAAAUAAUAAUAAUAAGAUUUUAAUUUUUAUAUUAUGUAUUUCAUAUGUAAAUAUACUACAUAUUUUAUAAAGAAUCACUUAUCUUUUUAAAUUUUAGUGAGAAUAGCAGCUUUUUUUUAUGGUUUUGCACAUCUCUUUAAUAUCUAGCUUAAUAUUUGCUUCUGCAUCAGAUCUGCUGCAGUAUGCUGUUUUGGUUGAAAUAUAUGAAGAAAAUGUGGAAAAAAAAAAAGUAAAAAAGAAAGUCUUGUGGCUCAAUAGUUUAAGAACCCAACUAGUAUCCAUUAAGGUGUAGGUUCAAUCCCCAGCCUUGCUAACUGGGUUAAGAAUCCAGCAUUGCCGCAAGCUGCCCUGUAGGUCACAGAUGCGGCUCAAAUCUGAUGUUGCUGUAACUGUGGUGUAGGCCAGCAGCUGCAGUUCUGAUUUGACACUAGCCUGGGAACUUCUAUAUGCCACAGGUG